rnacentral:rRNA from 1 species
UACGUAGGGGGCAAGCGUUGUCCGGAAUUAUUGGGCGUAAAGGGCACGCAGGCGGUGGUUUAAGUUUGGUGUUUAAUCCCAGGGCUCAACCCUGGUACGCACUGAAAACUGGAUCACUUGAGUGCAGAAGAGGAGAGUGGAAUUCCACGUGUAGCGGUGAAAUGCGUAGAUAUGUGGAGGAACACCAGUGGCGAAGGCGACUCUCUGGUCUGUAACUGACGCUGAGGUGCGAAAGCGUGGGUAGCAAACAGGAUUAGAUACCCUGGUAGUCCACGCCGUAAACGAUGAAUGCUAGGUGUUAGGGGCUUCGAUGCCCUUGGUGCCGAAGUUAACACAUUAAGCAUUCCGCCUGGGGAGUACGUUCGCAAGAAUGAA